ensembl:ncRNA Y67A10A.342 ncRNA
CGUUUUCGAGGUUAACUUGUUGCCAUGACGGGGAGAUCAAACCGAGUAAACAUAAGAGAAAUGCAAUGAGUGAAAGUGUAAAAUGAAUUGCCAAAGCAGUCUUUCGACUACAUUUUGUAGAAGAUGAACCUGCAUCGAUCAUCCCAUUGGCUCUGAAAAU